CGAAAACGAAUUCUCUCUUGAGUGGAUCCUGAGUACGACGGAGCACGUGAAAUUCCGUCGGAAUCUGGGAGGACCAUCUCCUAAGGCUAAAUACUCUCUAGUGACCGAUAGUGAACCAGUACCGUGAGGGAAAGGUGAAAAGUACCCCGGAAGGGGAGUGAAAGAGAACUUGAAACCGUGUGCUUACAAGUAGUCAGAGCCCGUUAAUGGGUGAUGGCGUGCCUUUUGUAGAAUGAACCGGCGAGUUACGAUCUGAUGCAAGGUUAAGCAGAAAAUGUGGAGCCGUAGCGAAAGCGAGUCUGAAUAGGGCGAAUGAGUAUUUGGUCGUAGACCCGAAACCAGGUGAUCUACCCUUGGUCAGGUUGAAGUUCAGGUAACACUGAAUGGAGGACCGAACCGACUUACGUUGAAAAGUGAGCGGAUGAACUGAGGGUAGCGGAGAAAUUCCAAUCGAACUUGGAGAUAGCUGGUUCUCUCCGAAAUAGCUUUAGGGCUAGCCUCAAGUGAUGAUUAUUGGAGGUAGAGCACUGUUUGGACGAGGGGCCCCUCUCGGGUUACCGAAUUCAGACAAACUCCGAAUGCCAAAUAAUUUAACUUGGGAGUCAGAAUGUGGGUGAUAAGGUCCAUAUUCGAAAGGGAAACAGCCCAGACCACCAGCUAAGGUCCCAAAAUAUAUGUUAAGUGGAAAAGGAUGUGGCGUUGCCCAGACAACUAGGAUGUUGGCUUAGAAGCAGCCAUCAUUUAAAGAGUGCGUAAUAGCUCACU
rnacentral:rRNA from 1 species